rnacentral:rRNA from 1 species
AACGAACGCUGGCGGCAGGCCUAACACAUGCAAGUCGAGCGCGCGCUUUCGGGCGUGAGCGGCGGACGGGUGAGUAACGCGUGGGAACGUACCCUUUGCUACGGAAUAGCCACUGGAAACGGUGAGUAAUACCGUAUGAGCCCUUCGGGGGAAAGAUUUAUCGGCAAAGGAUCGGCCCGCGUUGGAUUAGGUAGUUGGUGGGGUAAUGGCCUACCAAGCCUACGAUCCAUAGCUGGUUUUAGAGGAUGAUCAGCCACACUGGGACUGAGACACGGCCCAGACUCCUACGGGAGGCAGCAGUGGGGAAUCUUAGACAAUGGGGGCAACCCUGAUCUAGCCAUGCCGCGUGAGUGACGAAGGCCUUAGGGUCGUAAAGCUCUUUCGCCUGUGAUGAUAAUGACAGUAGC